rnacentral:rRNA from 1 species
AUUGAACGCUGGCGGCAGGCCUAACACAUGCAAGUCGAACGAGUGGCGGACGGGUGAGUAAUGUCUGGGAAACUGCCUGAUGGAGGGGGAUAACUACUGGAAACGGUAGCUAAUACCGCAUACCAUCAGAUGUGCCCAGAUGGGAUUAGCUAUUUGGGGGGGAAACGCCUCACCAAGGCGACGAUCCCUAGCUGGUCUGAGAGGAUGACCAGCCACACUGGAACGGAGACACGGGCCGAAACCCUACGGGAGGCAGCAUUGGGGAAUAUUGCGCAAGGGGCGCAAGGCUGAGGCGGCCAUGCCGGGUGUAUGAAGAAGGCCUUCGGGUUGGAAAGUACUUUCAGCGGGGAGGCGUUACCCGCAGAAGAAGCACCGGCUAACUCCGUGCCAGCUGCCGCGGUAAUA